rnacentral:lncRNA from 1 species
UUUUGUGUUUUUCUUUAGUAUUGGAUUUAAGAAAAGGAUUGCUGAAACUGUGAUUGAGAUAUUGAAAAUUAUGAAUUCGAAUUAAUUAAUUUGGAGAAAGAAAGUGUGAUUGUGAUAAUAGAGAUUAUUGCAUUGUGUUAGUAGCAUUGGAAGAUUGAGUAAAAGUAAAGGAAUUGAGAAUUGAAGUACUGUGGAAAGAGAUUAAGCAUCCUGUAGAUGUCAAG